GGAUUUGAGGGCAACCUGGCUGUGACAUCUGUCACCCCAUUGAUAGCCAGCGUUGAUUCAGCUGAUCUGGCUGGCUAGGCGGGUAUCCCCUUCCUCCCUCACCACUCCAUGUGCAUCCCUCCCGAAACUGCAUGCUCAGUUGAAGAGGACCACCAUCCCCGAUAGAGGAGGACCAGUCUUCAGUCAAGGGUAUAUGAGUAGCUGCACUCCCCUGCUAGAACCUCCAAACAAGCUCUCAAAAAAACGAGCAAUCCCAUCAAAAAGUGGGCUAAGGACAUAAAUAGCCAAUUCU
rnacentral:snRNA from 1 species